GUUUGGUUAAGUUAGAAAGGGCGCACGGUGGAUGCCUUGACACUAGGAGUCGAUGAAGGACGGGACUAACGCCGAUAUGCUUCGGGGAGCUGUAAGUAAGCUUUGAUCCGAAGAUUUCCGAAUGGGGAAACCCACCAUACGUAAUGGUAUGGUAUCCUUACCUGAAUACAUAGGGUAAGGAAGACAGACCCAGGGAACUGAAACAUCUAAGUACCUGGAGGAAGAGAAAGCAAAUGCGAUUUCCUGAGUAGCGGCGAGCGAAACGGAACAUAGCCCAAACCAAGAGGCUUGCCUCUUGGGGUUGUAGGACAUUCUAUACGGAGUUACAAAGGAACGAGGUAGACGAAGCGACCUGGAAAGGUCCGUCGUAGAGGGUAACAACCCCGUAGUCGAAACUUCGUUCUCUCUUGAAUGUAUCCUGAGUACGGCGGAACACGUGAAAUUCCGUCGGAAUCUGGGAGGACCAUCYCCCAAGGCUAAAUACUCCCUAGUGAUCGAUAGUGAACCAGUACCGUGAGGGAAAGGUGAAAAGCACCCCGGAAGGGGAGUGAAAGAGAUCCUGAAACCGUGUGCCUACAAAUAGUCAGAGCCCGUUAAUGGGUGAUGGCGUGCCUUUUGUAGAAUGAACCGGCGAGUUACGAUCCCGUGCA
rnacentral:rRNA from 1 species